UUGGAGGGCAAGUCUGGUGCCAGCAGCCGCGGUAAUUCCAGCUCCAAUAGCGUAUAUUAAAGUUGUUGCAGUUAAAAAGCUCGUAGUUGAAUUUCGGGGUUCUACCGUUGGUCGGGCUUUGUCUGUACUGGUGUGUAGAAUUUCUACCUUCUGGGGAACCAUCAUGCUAUUAAUUUAGCGUGGUGGGAAACCAGGACCUUUACCUUGAAAAAAUUAGUGUGUUCAAAGCAGGCUUAUGUCUGAAUACAUUAGCGUGGAAUAAUAGAAUAGGACGGUGGUCCUGUUUUGUUGGUUUCUGAAUCACCGUAAUGAUUAAUAGGGAUAGUUGGGGGCAUUAGUAUUCAAUUGUCAGAGGUGAAAUUCUUGGAUUUAUUGAAGACUAACUUCUGCGAAAGCAUUUGCCAAGGAUGUUUUCAUUAAUCAAGAACGAAAGUUAGGGGAUCGAAGACGAUCAGAUACCGUCGUAGUCUUAACCAUAAACUAUGCCGACUAGGGAUCAGACGAUGUUAAUUUUUCUUGACUCGUUCGGCGCCUUACGGGAAAC
rnacentral:rRNA from 1 species